AACGAACGCUGGCGGCAUGCCUAACACAUGCAAGUCGAACGAGAUCUUCGGGUCUAGUGGCGCACGGGUGCGUAACGCGUGGGAAUCUGCCCUUUGGUUCGGAAUAACAGUUGGAAACGACUGCUAAUACCGGAUGAUGACGAAAGUCCAAAGAUUUAUCGCCAGAGGAUGAGCCCGCGUAGGAUUAGCUAGUUGGUGUGGUAAAGGCGCACCAAGGCGACGAUCCUUAGCUGGGCUGAGAGGAUGAUCAGCCACACUGGGACUGAGACACGGCCCAGACUCCUACGGGAGGCAGCAGUGGGGAAUAUUGGACAGUGGGCGAAAGCCUGAUCCAGCAAUGCCGCGUGAGUGAUGAAGGCCUUAGGGUUGUAAAGCUCUUUUACCCGGGAUGAUAAUGACAGUACCGGGAGAAUAAGCUCCGGCUAACUCCGUGCCAGCAGCCGCGGUAA
rnacentral:rRNA from 1 species